GGACUCUUAGCUCAGUUAGUUAGUUCGAAUGGUUCAAUAAUCGUUCGAUCGUUGGUUCGAGUCCGACAGGGUCCU
rnacentral:tRNA from 1 species